AGAGUUUGAUCCUGGCUCAGGGUGAACGUUAGUAGUGCGCAUAACACAUGCAAGUCGAGCGGAAAAUAAUAGCAAUAUUGUUUUUAGCGGCGAACGGGUGAGUAAUAUUUAUCUGACUUACCGAUUAGUGGGGGAUAACUGUGGGAAACUGCAGCUAAUACCGCAUAUGUUGUGUAUUCAUUUAUACAAUGAAAGGGAGUUUUAAAAACUCUCGCUGUUCGAUAGGGAUAGAUCGUAUUAGCUAGUUGGUGGGGUAAUAGCCUACCAAGGUAAUGAUGCGUAGCCAGUCCGAGAGGAUGUCUGGCCACAAGGGAAUUGAGAUACGGUCCCUACUCCUUCGGGAGGCAGCAGUGGGGAAUAUUCGUAAUGGGGGAAACCCUGAACGAGCGACACUACGUGAAGGAAGAAGGUCUGCGGAUUGUAAACUUCUGUUAGCGCGGAAGAAGAGGAAACUUUGACGGUACGCGCAGAGAAAGUGACGACUAACUAUGUGCCAGCAGUCGCGGUAAGACAUAGGUCACAAACGUUACCCGGUGUUAUUGGGCGUAAAGGGUGCGUAGAUUGUUUAAUAAGUUAUUGGUGGAAACAGGGCCUAACCUUGUAGAAGCUGAUAAUACUGUUAGACUAGAGAAAAGGAGAGGUCAACGGAACUAUACAUGUAGAGGUAAAAUUCAUAGAUAUGUAUAAGAACACCAAAAAGGCGAAGGCAGUUGACUAUUCUUAUUCUGACGUUGGGGCACGAAAGCGUGGGGGAGCCAAACGGAUUAGAUACCCGUGCAGUCCACGCCCUAAACGAUGAGUACUAGAUGUUGGGGUUUUAAACUCAGUGUCGCAAGUUAACACGUUAAGUACUCCGCCUGGGGUAGUACGCUCGCAAGAGUGAAACUCAAGGAAUUUGACGG
rnacentral:rRNA from 1 species